AGUGAACGCUGGCGGUAGGCCUAACACAUGCAAGUCGAACGGCAGCACAGUAAGAGCUUGCUCUUACGGGUGGCGAGUGGCGGACGGGUGAGGAAUACAUCGGAAUCUACUUUUUCGUGGGGGAUAACGUAGGGAAACUUACGCUAAUACCGCAUACGCCCUACGGGUGAAAGCAGGGGAUCUUCGGACCUUGCGCGAUUGAAUGAGCCGAUGUCGGAUUAGCUAGUUGGCGGGGUAAAGGCCCACCAAGGCGACGAGCCGUAGCUGGUCUGAGAGGAUGAUCAGCCACACUGGAACUGAGACACGGUCCAGACUCCUACGGGAGGCAGCAGUGGGGAAUAUUGGACAAUGGGCGCAAGCCUGAUCCAGCCAUACCGCGUGGGUGAAGAAGGCCUUCGGGUUGUAAAGCCCUUUUGUUGGGAAAGAAAAGCAGCAGGUUAAUACCCCGCUGUUCUGACGGUACCCAAAGAAUAAGCACCGGCUAACUUCGUG
rnacentral:rRNA from 1 species